GCAGUCUACAGUUCAGAGAGAGGAGCUUGUUACACCCUCUCUCCAGCGGCAGCCUAACCCACCAAGGGGAGAUGUUCAGCCCCACAACUGUGCAGAUGGGACAGUGGUCUCUGCACAUGCAACACCGGGGGUAGGGACAGUCGGUCCUGUCCCCCAGCAGCAGGACUGUUUAGGCAAAGGGGAGACAGUCUGUCUCCCCCUCCAGCAACCAGGCUCCAACCAGACUACAACCGUGGUAGUGCUGGCACCAGGACAGAGUACCGCUGGUCUCUGCCCACUCAGCAACCCACCCAGUACGCUUACCAGUCACCCACACAGCCAUGGUGAGGCACCUGGACACGGACAAAGUUCUCCUCUACCCAGGUGUAGUAGCCAGUUAUUGUGGGUGGGCUGUAUUACUGAUUGUGUUUUGUGGGUGGGCUGCUGGACUAACAAGGGCACUGACCGGCAGGAGGUCAGAUACCCUGUUAGUCUGAUUGGUAAAGGGGAGAAGUGUGGCGGAACCAACCUCGCCACUAUGCACUGGAGUGUCCCUUUAAUCUUUGACAUGAAAUUUAAUUCUGUCCAAGGCUUCAGCUUGGACCCAUUCUUCAACUACAAAAAUAGGAGUGAUCCAUGUUUUGUUAGAGAUUAUAAUCAUGUAAGGUGUAUGUGGCGGAACCAACCUCGCCACUAUGCACUGGAGAAGCCUGGUUGCCAGCCUCCUGCCAUGUGACUAUGGCCCCUGGGAUGUAUUGCCCUUUAAAGACAUGAUUUGGGCAUAAUGGAUUUGUG